CACGUAGUUAGCCGUCCCUUUCUGGUAAGAUACCGUCACAGUGUGAACUUUCCACUCUCACACUCGUUCUUCUCUUACAACAGAGCUUUACGAUCCGAAAACCUUCUUCACUCACGCGGCGUUGCUCGGUCAGACUUCCGCCCAUUGCCGAAGAUUCCCUACUGCUGCCUCCCGUAGGAGUCUGGGCCGUGUCUCAGUCCCAGUGUGGCCGAUCACCCUCUCAGGUCGGCUAUGUAUCGUUGCCUUGGUGAGCCGUUACCUCACCAACUAGCUAAUACAACGCAGGUCCAUCUGGUAGUGAUGCAAUUGCACCUUUUAAGCAAAUGUCAUGCAACAUCUACUGUUAUGCGGUAUUAGCUAUCGUUUCCAAUAGUUAUCCCCGCUACCAGGCAGGUUACCUACGCGUUAACUCACCCGUUCGCAACUCAUCCAGAAGAGCAAGCUCCUCCUUCAGCGUUCUACUUGCAUGUAUUAGGCACGCCGCAGCGUUCG
rnacentral:rRNA from 1 species